GAGAGCGAGAGAGAAAAAGGGAGAGAAGGGGAGAAGAGGAGAGACAGGGGAGGGCUCCUCUUCAGGCUGGCGUCAUAAAGGAAUUCCCUGCGCGGUUUUGGUCCCGCCCACUCAGUAACUCUCAACCCCGUCUGGAUGUGAGACGUUCACACACACUUCUGUCUGCAGCACCGCACCGGGACGCACCUCUCACAACCAGGACAAAGAGCGGGAGACACGAGUAAACAAUAGGAGAUUGACGGGACAAAAGUGAAGUUUUAAUCUUGUCUGGGAAUAUGAAGAAGAGGAGAUUUGAAGAGUUGUAACUUCAGAGACAGUCCACACCUAGUCCAGAUCUACAACCUGCUGAUCAAGACAGAUGUUGACUACAGUGAACUAAGUCAUGUGCGUGCCUGCUGCACAAAUGUACAGUAACGCUCCGGUGCUGGGAUUACGCCUAAGGUCUGCCACUAUGGAGCAGCUCUGUUACAAAGGUCAGACGUAAAUAGUUCAGUUGAAUGGGAAGGCUUAAUUUCUGUCUGCCUGUCUGUCUGUCCAGUUGACAUUGGGGAUUACACAUAUCCACUCUGAAUUACUUGUGUGAUUCUGUGUGACUUUUGAACACUUCUUAUUUGUGUGUUAGUAGCAACAACAAAAAAGAUCAUAAAAGUUGUCAAAACUUUGGUUGGAGGGACGUAAUGGUAGUGGUUGACGUGAGGCCGGAGCCACUCAUACAUUCCUCUCAUUGUUCAGGGGCCCUGUAAGUCUGCAAGCUCCCAAACCUCCAUGAAAGGAAGGGAAUCCAUGGACUACUGUAGUUUAGCCACUCCAGUGCAGAGGUGGCUCACAAUCUCUUCCUGUCUAUUUCUCUGUCUUGAUUUACUUAUAGAAGUACUUAUGAAGACCAGUUUGAGCAUAAAUUGUCAUUACAGACUUAAAAGAAUGACAGUAGAAGAGUGUACAGCGAAUUAAGCCCCUGAGGACAUAGGGGAAAGGUAGAAUUUAUUCUUUCUUUAAUUACACUGUAACAAGUUGUGGCAAUGAGAGUGAGUAGAGAGUUUGGUUCGUAGAACUUUGGUGGGGUGGCAGGCUGGUUGGGGUGGGUGUGCCCUCAGAUGUAUAGACUCAGGCAUCGGAAAGCCUGGCGUAGUGGAAUAAAAGUGUGUGGUUUGUGUACAUCAUGUGUGCAUGUGGUGCAGUGGCAGCAGCACAGCACAGGAUAAGUACAGGGCGGCUAGUGGUACUGGUGGUGAGGCUGUUUGGCAACGAGUCAGGCUUAUGGGAUAGAGUUACACUGGGCUGAAGGGAUCAACCAAGAGCUUGGGCUGGGCGCUUCCCCUUUACAACACUAUUUAACUUUAAAAAUCCAUACCUGGGAAUUAUUUUUCUUCUGUCCCAAACACAGUACACAGAUUCAACAUGUUUAGUUUUAAUCUUGAGAAAAUAUAACAACAUAGAAGAAAUCCGCUGAAUGUCAUUGAAUGUCACAGCCGGAGUGAUAAUUACACCCUCGCACGCAACAUGAAACAAAUACAGUUUUUAGUCACUCGUAGCCAGACGCUCAGUGUCUGGCGUAAGCGGCCACUGAUAGGGCGUGGUGCUGUGUGUAAGGUGAACAAGGUCAACAAUCUGUGGUUUAACCGGCAGCAUGUAAAUGAGGCUUAUAUUUUUUGUAAUUUUAAUAGUCCAAAUGAAGAAAGGCUGGCUACUAUUAAUCUUAACAUUUUUCCCAUAAAUCGUUUCAGCUUGAAUAUUGUGUCACUUUUUACAUUUUUCUUUUUUCCUUUUUUACGUGCAAUUGUAAAUCUGGUGUAAAUGAUAGAAAAGCAUAUUUGAUAACAAAUGAGUUAUUUUUGCACUGGAAAUUAAGAUAUAAUUGUUAUAUACCACUGCUUGCCAUUGCUACUAAUUACCCUGCUUUCACAUGCAUGUAAAAACAAAUUGCCCACUGUAAAAGUCUUGAUAUGGUUGAAGUUCACAGCAGUGUAGUGAAGUGAGCGAGUGCUGGGGUCAUCCUCAUUGCUGUUUCCACACAGUGGUUAGCAGGCCUGUGGUGCAAAUGUCAGAUGGUGUGUAUUUUUGUGUAUGAAACAGUGAGACUACCUGAUAUCAUAAUUGUAUUUGUUCAUUGAUAGGAAUUGAAGUUCAUAUUGUGGUUUGUAUAUUUUGAGUGAGCAUAGGAAAGGGGAGAGGGAUGAGAUGUGUUGAAAAACAAGAGGUCAAGAUCCAGCUGUCUCAACAGAGGCUUUUCCACUUAACCGUGUGCCCUUGUGUAAACGACAAAGUCAGUCCUGGACAGGCUCAAGAACACAG